rnacentral:rRNA from 1 species
ACGAACGCUGGCGGCAUGCCUAACACAUGCAAGUCGAACGAGACCUUCGGGUCUAGUGGCGCACGGGUGCGUAACGCGUGGGAACCUGCCUUUAGGUUCGGAAUAACUCAGAGAAAUUUGAGCUAAUACCGGAUGAUGUCUUCGGACCAAAGAUUUAUCGCCUUUAGAUGGGCCCGCGUUGGAUUAGCUAGUUGGUGGGGUAAAGGCCUACCAAGGCGACGAUCCAUAGCUGGUCUGAGAGGAUGAUCAGCCACACUGGGACUGAGACACGGCCCAGACUCCUACGGGAGGCAGCAGUGGGGAAUAUUGGACAAUGGGCGAAAGCCUGAUCCAGCAAUGCCGCGUGAGUGAUGAAGGCCUUAGGGUUGUAAAGCUCUUUUACCCGAGAUGAUAAUGACAGUAGCGGGAGAAUAAGCUCCGGCUAACUCCGUG